ncrna:Carnobacterium divergens DSM 20623 L31-Firmicutes ribosomal protein leader
CUCUGGUACAGCAAAUGAAUCAGGGCAAAGGAG